rnacentral:rRNA from 1 species
GGGCGUGGAGCAUGUGGCUUAAUUUGACUCAACACGGGAAAUCUUACCGGGUCCGGACAUACCGAGGAUUGACAGACUGUUAACUGCAACACAUGCUGCUAAGUUUUAAACUUAAUAGCUCUUUCAUGAUUAUAUGAUAGGUGGUGCAUGGCCGUUCUUAGUUCGUGGAGUGAUCUGUCUGCUUAAUUGCGUUUCAAAAUCUAAACCUGAGCGACAAGGUGCUGCUAUCGAAACUGUCUUUGAGUGUGAACUAUAAGUCUUUUGACUUAUGACCAUCACUCUAGACGUUUAUGUUUUGGUGUUGGCCCUUGAUGCUCAUUUGAACGCAACGGACGUGAUUGCAACCCCUUGUUGAGAUUUAUCCGAUCUCUACGUUCACUGAACCACACUCUUUAGCGAGAGCAGUGGGGAUGUGGAUAAACUCGGGGGACUGCUGACUAUAAACUUUUCUCAAACCAGAGGAAGGUUGCGGCAAUAACAGGUCUGUGAUGCCCUCAGAUGUUCCGGGCUGCACACGUGCUACAUUUAGUAGCGCAGUGUGCACAUUAAUAGAGUGAUAGGUUCCGUGGUUUGUACAUUUUAAGGGCUCGUCCUAGUAACCAAAGCUCCACGGGACAUAUCAACCUUCCCCUUACAGGGCGGGUAACCUCUUCGAAGUGCUGGCAUGAUUUCCCUAGUUUUGGCAUUUGAAUCCUUGUCGCAGCAGCCCUGAGACGUAGUGAACGCUGCAAAGUGAUUCCAGUCUUAGGUUUGCGACACAUGCAAUUCCUGGUUGACUCAUCGUGGGG